rnacentral:lncRNA from 10 species
GCAGGGGCUGUGGGGAGCGGUCGCUGCAGGGUUGGACGGAUGCUAGGCCAAGGUGGGGCCAGCGGCACGGGUUCCCAGGUGAGUGGGGCUGGGACCGGAUGGGAGGGAGUGACCUCCCCAUCACGUGGAGGCUGAGUUGAUGACGAUGGGAAGAGCAGCGGGGGCCAAAAAGGGAGGGACGGCCCGGCACGCCGUGCACUCGAUGCCCAACGGGCCCCCAUUUAAGGUAAGCAUUUGUUUAACUGCACCGUGACACACAGUAUUUUCUGAAUUUAAGUUGAACUCAGUUCAACAAAUGUUUAUGAACUGUCUACGGAGGAGAGGCACUGAAGUGCAGCGAUGACUCAACGCGUACUUGAGCUUCAAAAGGCUGCCAGGGAAUGUUGCAGUGAAUUUGCCUGACUCCAGCGAAUGGUGCCUGUGAAGUCCAGGAGCAUAGAGCUGGUGUAAGGAAGCUCAAAACCCAUUUGCAGAGAGAAAGAAGAUAAUGCCUCCGAAUGAGAACCUUUUCAGUUCCUGUUCUUUGGAAACACUUUGGGAAAUUUUUGAGGCCAGGAGUUCCAAGCUGCAGUGUGUGAUUAUCGUGUCUGUGAAUGGCCACGGCACUCCAGCCUGGGCAACAUAGCAAGACCUCAUCUCUUUAAAAAAGACAGGUCUGAGCAGCUCCUAGGGGCCAAUCCCUAUUCGAGGCAACAGCAGAGGGAAGACAAGAAGAUGGCUACAUGCACCCACCACCUGACUGCAGCAGCUCACAGGCCCCCCAGGGCUGGCAUUGCCUGACCCAGGGAAUGUGGCAAGGGGUGCCACCAAGGCAAACACAGGAGGAAUCUUUAGACGGUGUGCUGGUCCCCACACCAGCCUCUGACUUGAAGUGCCUCCAUUCCCCUAGCAAAUGCAUGAAACAAAAGUUGUGCAGGCCUCACGUCUGAUUGAUUCUCUUCUCUUUGUGGACAUACGUUAGACUUAGAAAUAAACUCGUAUUAAAAGAUAUUUUUAAUGGCUUUUUCUUCCCUUACUUAGAGGCAAAUAAUGAUAAGCUAUACUUCAGUAUGUAUUUUAGGCUUGAAAUCAU